AGAGUUUGAUCAUGGCUCAGAACGUACGCUGGCGGCACGCCUAACACAUGCAAGUCGAACGAAGUAGCAAUACUUAGUGGCAGACGGGUGAGUAGCAUGUGGGUAUCUACCCUUUGGCCUGGAAUAACACGAGGAAACUUGUGCUAAUACCGGAUAAGUCUUUACGGAGAAAGCUUUAUGCACCAUUGGAUGAGCCCGCACUUGAUUAGUUUGUUGGUAGGGUAAUGGCCUACCAAGACUAUGAUCAAUAGCUGAUUUGAGAGGAUGAUCAGCCACAUUGGGACUGAGACACGGCCCAAACUCCUACGGGAGGCAGCAGUGGGGAAUCUUGCACAAUGGAGGAAACUCUGAUGCAGCGAUGCCGCGUGAGUGAAGAAGGCCCUUGGGUUGUAAAGCUCUUUCGUCGGGGAAGAAAAUGACUGUACCCGAAUAAGAAGGUCCGGCUAACUUCGUGCCAGCAGCCGCGGUAAUACGAAGGGACCUAGCGUAGUUCGGAAUUACUGGGCUUAAAGAGUUCGUAGGUGGUUGAAAAAGUUAGUGGUGAAAUCCCAGAGCUUAACUCUGGAACUGCCAUUAAAACUUUUCAGCUAGAGUAUGAUAGAGGAAAGCAGAAUUUCUAGUGUAGAGGUGAAAUUCGUAGAUAUUAGAAAGAAUACCAAUUGCGAAGGCAGCUUUCUGGAUCAUUACUGACACUGAGGAACGAAAGCAUGGGUAGCGAAGAGGAUUAGAUACCCUCGUAGUCCAUGCCGUAAACGAUGUGUGUUAGACGUUGGAAAUUUAUUUUCAGUGUCGCAGGGAAACCGAUAAACACACCGCCUGGGGAGUACGACCGCAAGGUUAAAACUCAAAUGAAUUGACGGGGACCCGCACAAGUAGUGGAGCAUGUGGUUUAAUUCGAAGAUACGCGCAGAACCUUACCAACACUUGACAUGUUCGUCGCGACUCUAAGAGAUUAG
rnacentral:rRNA from 1 species